GACGAACGCUGGCGGCGUGCUUAACACAUGCCAGUCGAACGUGAUUUUUGUGGAAAUUCUUUCGGGAAUGGAAAUGAAAUGAAAGUGGCGAACGGGUGAGUAACACGUGAGCAACCUACCUUACACAGGGGGAUAGCCGUUGGAAACGACGAUUAAUACCGCAUGAGACCACAGAAUCGCAUGAUAUAGGGGUCAAAGAUUUAUCGGUGUAAGAAGGGCUCGCGUCUGAUUAGCUAGUUGGAAGGGUAAAGGCCUACCAAGGCGACGAUCAGUAGCCGGUCUGAGAGGAUGAACGGCCACAUUGGAACUGAGACACGGUCCAAACUCCUACGGGAGGCAGCAGUGGGGAAUAUUGCACAAUGGGGGGAACCCUGAUGCAGCGACGCCGCGUGAGCGAAGAAGGUUUUCGAAUCGUAAAGCUCUGUCCUAUGAGAAGAUAAUGACGGUAUCAUAGGAGGAAGCCCCGGCUAAAUACGUG
rnacentral:rRNA from 1 species